rnacentral:rRNA from 1 species
UACGAAGGGGGCUAGCGUUGCUCGGAAUCACUGGGCGUAAAGCGCACGUAGGCGGAUUGUUAAGUCAGGGGUGAGAUCCUGGAGCUCAACUCCAGAACUGCCUUUGAUACUGGCGAUCUCGAGUCCGGGAGAGGUGAGUGGAACUGCGAGUGUAGAGGUGAAAUUCGUAGAUAUUCGCAAGAACACCAGUGGCGAAGGCGGCUCACUGGCCCGGUACUGACGCUGAGGUGCGAAAGCGUGGGGAGCAAACAGG